GCAUCAGUGGUCUAACGGUUAUGAUCCGGUCUUCCCAUCGCUAGUGUUUCGGUGAAAGUUAUGGCCGGGAAAGGGGUUCGACUCCCCUCUGAUGCA
rnacentral:tRNA from 1 species